rnacentral:rRNA from 1 species
CCUACGGGUGGCUGCAGUCAAGAAUAUUCGGCAAUGGGCGAAAGCCUGACCGAGCGACGCCGCGUGCCAGACGAAGCCCUUCGGGGUGUAAAUGGCUUUUUUUUGGGACGAACAAAUGACGGUACCAAAAGAAUAAGAGGUUGCUAACUCUGUGCCAGCAGCAGCGGUAAUACAGAGACCUCGAGCGUUAUCCGGAAUUAUUGGGCGUAAAGGGUCCGUAGGCGGCACUGUAAGUCAUAUGUCAAAUCUCUGGGCUCAACCCAGAGGCUGCGUGUGAAACUACAGAGCUAGAGAUCGGGAGAGGCACAUGGAAUUACAGGUGUAGCGGUAAAAUGCGUUAAUAUCUGUAAGAACACCAAAGGCGAAGGCAGUGUGCUGGAACGAAUCUGACGCUGAGGGACGAAAGCGUGGGGAGCGAAUGGGAUUAGAUACCCCAGUAGUC